UCCGAGACUAAAGAUCCUCUCCGUGUCCAGCCACAUCUCAAGAAAUGCUUUGAGGGAAUCAACAAGCUUGACUUUAACUCGGAGCUGAUCAUCAGUGGCAUGUUCAGCAAGGAGGGAGAAAGUGUGCCUUUCUCUUAUACCAUAGAUACCAAUGAAGCCAAAGGCUCAGUUGAGAAAUGGCUGC
rnacentral:lncRNA from 1 species